rnacentral:lncRNA from 1 species
AACUGCUAGAAGAAUUUGUAACACCUCAAAAUUUGCCCUCCUCUCUUGGGACUAGCUUAGCAUAUUGCAUUUCAUCUUUUAGGACAUUAGGCAUUACAUCUUUGCAUAUCAUGUGGAAGCAAUAAGUAAGUAAUCCUCCUAGGUCUUUCUCAGAAGAUGAAGAGGUUAAAAGAUUCAAGCUUGAGGGUCUCAUGAAUUGAUCACUAAUCAUCUGAGGGUUUGUGCUUCAAUUAGGGUUUCUUGGUUC